GAGUCUUAAUUGGGCGUUAAGUUGCAGGGUAUAGACCCGAAACCCGGUGAUCUAGCCAUGGGCAGGUUGAAGGUUGGGUAACACUAACUGGAGGACCGAACCGACUAAUGUUGAAAAAUUAGCGGAUGACCUGUGGCUGGGGGUGAAAGGCCAAUCAAACCGGGAGAUAGCUGGUUCUCCCCGAAAGCUAUUUAGGUAGCGCCUCGUGAAUUCAUCUCCGGGGGUAGAGCACUGUUUCGGCUAGGGGGCCAUCCCGGCUUACCAACCCGAUGCAAACUGCGAAUACCGGAGAAUGUUAUCACGGGAGACACACGGCGGGUGCUAACGUCCGUCGUGAAGAGGGAAACAACCCAGACCGCCAGCUAAGGUCCCAAAGUCAUGGUUAAGUGGGAAACGAUGUGGGAAGGCCCAGACAGCCAGGAUGUUGGCUUAGAAGCAGCCAUCAUUUAAAGAAAGCGUAAUAGCUCACUGGUCGAGUCGGCCUGCGCGGAAGAUGUAACGGGGCUAAACCAUGCACCGAAGCUGCGGCAGCGACGCUGAUGCGUUGUUGGGUAGGGGAGCGUUCUGUAAGCCUGCGAAGGUGGCCUGUGAGGGUUGCUGGAGGUAUCAGAAGUGCGAAUGCUGACAUAAGUAACGAUAAAGCGGGUGAAAAGCCCGCUCGCCGGAAGACCAAGGGUUCCUGUCCAACGUUAAUCGGGGCAGGGUGAGUCGACCCCUAAGGCGAGGCCGAAAGGCGUAGUCGAUGGGAAACGGGUUAAUAUUCCCGUACUUGGUGUUACUGCGAAGGGGGGACGGAGAAGGCUAUGUUGGCCGGGCGACGGUUGUCCCGGUUUAAGCGUGUAGGUGUGUGUUCCAGGUAAAUCCGGUUCACUUUAACACUGAGGCGUGAUGACGAGGCACUACGGUGCUGAAGCAACAAAUGCCCUGCUUCCAGGAAAAGCCUCUAAGCAUCAGGUAACAUCAAAUCGUACCCCAAACCGACACAGGUGGUCAGGUAGAGAAUACCAAGGCGCUUGAGAGAACUCGGGUGAAGGAACUAGGCAAAAUGGUGCCGUAACUUCGGGAGAAGGCACGCUGACACGUAGGUGAAGUGAUUUACUCAUGGAGCUGAAGUCAGUCGAAGAUACCAGCUGGCUGCAACUGUUUAUUAAAAACACAGCACUGUGCAAACACGAAAGUGGACGUAUACGGUGUGACGCCUGCCCGGUGCCGGAAGGUUAAUUGAUGGGGUCAGCGCAAGCGAAGCUCCUGAUCGAAGCCCCGGUAAACGGCGGCCGUAACUAUAACGGUCCUAAGGUAGCGAAAUUCCUUGUCGGGUAAGUUCCGACCUGCACGAAUGGCGUAAUGAUGGCCAGGCUGUCUCCACCCGAGACUCAGUGAAAUUGAACUCGCUGUGAAGAUGCAGUGUACCCGCGGCAAGACGGAAAGACCCCGUGAACCUUUACUAUAGCUUGACACUGAACAUUGAGCCUUGAUGUGUAGGAUAGGUGGGAGGCUUUGAAGUGUGGACGCCAGUCUGCAUGGAGCCGACCUUGAAAUACCACCCUUUAAUGUUUGAUGUUCUAACGUGGACCCGUGAUCCGGGUUGCGGACAGUGUCUGGUGGGUAGUUUGACUGGGGCGGUCUCCUCCUAAAGAGUAACGGAGGAGCACGAAGGUUGGCUAAUCCUGGUCGGACAUCAGGAGGUUAGUGCAAUGGCAUAAGCCAGCUUGACUGCGAGCGUGACGGCGCGAGCAGGUGCGAAAGCAGGUCAUAGUGAUCCGGUGGUUCUGAAUGGAAGGGCCAUCGCUCAACGGAUAAAAGGUACUCCGGGGAUAACAGGCUGAUACCGCCCAAGAGUUCAUAUCGACGGCGGUGUUUGGCACCUCGAUGUCGGCUCAUCACAUCCUGGGGCUGAAGUAGGUCCCAAGGGUAUGGCUGUUCGCCAUUUAAAGUGGUACGCGAGCUGGGUUUAGAACGUCGUGAGACAGUUCGGUCCCUAUCUGCCGUGGGCGCUGGAGAACUGAGGGGGGCUGCUCCUAGUACGAGAGGACCGGAGUGGACGCAUCACUGGUGUUCGGGUUGUCAUGCCAAUGGCACUGCCCGGUAGCUAAAUGCGGAAGAGAUAAGUGCUGAAAGCAUCUAAGCACGAAACUUGCCCCGA
rnacentral:rRNA from 1 species